rnacentral:rRNA from 1 species
UACGUAGGGGGCUAGCGUUGUCCGGAAUCAUUGGGCGUAAAGCGCGUGUAGGCGGUCCGGUAAGUCCGCUGUGAAAGUCGGGGGCUCAACCCUCGAAUGCCGGUGGAUACUGUCGGGCUAGAGUGCGGAAGAGGCGAGUGGAAUUCCUGGUGUAGCGGUGAAAUGCGCAGAUAUCAGGAGGAACACCAAUUGCGAAGGCAGCUCGCUGGGACGUUACUGACGCUGAGACGCAAAAGCGUGGGGAGCGAACAGG